rnacentral:rRNA from 1 species
UACGAACCGUACGAACGUUAUUCGGAAUCACUGGGCUUAAAGGGUGCGUAGGCUGCGCAGCAAGUUGGGUGUGAAAUCCCUCGGCUUAACCGAGGAACUGCGCCCAAAACUGCUGUGCUCGAGGGAGAUAGAGGUGAGCGGAACUUAGGGUGGAGCGGUGAAAUGCGUUGAUAUCCUAAGGAACACCGGUGGAAAGCGGCUCACUGGAUCUCUUCUGGCGCUGAGGCACGAAAGCUAGGGUAGCGAACGGG